CGAAAGCCUGACGGAGCAAUACCGCGUGAGGGAUGACUGCCUAUGAGUUGUAAACCUCUUUUUUCAGGGAGGAACACAAUGACGUGUACCUGAAGAAUAAGCAUCGGCUAACUCCGUGCCAGCAGCCGCGGUAAGACGGAGGAUGCAAGUGUUAUCCGGAAUCACUGGGCGUAAAGCGUCUGUAGGUUGUUUAAUAAGUCAACUGUUAAAUCUUGAGGCUUAACUUCAAAACAGCAGUCGAAACUAUUAGACUAGAGUAUAGUAGGGGUAAAGGGAAUUUCCAGUGGAGCGGUGAAAUGCGUAGAUAUUGGAAAGAACACCGAUGGCGAAAGCACUUUACUGGGCUAUUACUGACACUCAGAGACGAAAGCUAGGGUAGCAAAUG
rnacentral:rRNA from 1 species